UGUAACAUUAUAAAUGUCUUUAAUUUAAUGCAUCCUUGAUGAAUACUUUAUGUAUUUUUUAUCUUUCCCAAACUGUUUCCACGGAAAUAUUGUGCAGCAUGACUGUUUUCAACAUUGAUAAUAAUCAGAAAUGUUUCUUGAGUAUAUUAGAAUGAUUUCUGAAGAUCAUGUGACACUGAAGACUGGAGUAAUGAUGCUGAAAAUACAGCUGCACAUCACAGAAAUAAAUUACAGUUUAACAGAGAUUCACAUAGAAAACAGCUGUUUUACAUUAGAAUAAUAUAUCACAAUUUUUACAGUAUUUUUGAUCAAAUAAAUGCAGCCUUGAUGAACAGAAGACACUUCUUAUUAUUCCAAAUGUUUAAUCUCUAGUGCAUAUAUAUUAUUUUUUAUCGGCGUGAUGUAGAGCUGUAAAUAAAUGCUGGAUAAUGUUCAUAUUUCUCACCUGUGUGUCUGUAGGUGAUUUUAAUAGGAGUUAUAACAGCUAUAGCUGCAUGCACCCGCAACCGCUGUCUGGUGAUCACGUCUCAGGUGCUGAAUCUGCUCAAUAUCUGCAAUGUGGUGACGGCCAUCGUCGCGUUUUUCGUCGUAGUCUUCUUAGGGAUUCUUAGGGAUGCGUUUUUUGGACAUUUACUGCGUGGUCAUUUCCUGAAUGGCCGUUCUGAGAGUAAUCAGUCUCUGCCCGCAAACAUGGCCUUCGUCACCUGUAACAUUCUGGCGCUCAUCUUCUCAUUUCUCAUCAUCAUGACGUUGUGCUGCUGGUGUAAACCGAGAAAGCGUCUGAUGGUCAUCCACAUGAACGCAGCUUCACCUGCAGCGGUCAGUGACGUCGUGGAUCACCCGCGGCCAGUAUCUUCCCCCCCGGCCUACAGUCCGGUCCCGUCUUCAGAUCCGCCGGACUACGAGGAGGAACGACGCUCGACACUCUCUGGAGUUUCUGCUCAGAAGUGGGCCUCGAGGAAAUGGAAAGAAGAACUGCAGCGCAGCAGAAAACCCAUCCAAGUCUGA
ensembl:lncRNA